rnacentral:rRNA from 1 species
CGGUGCGCCUUAUGCAUGCAAGUCGAGCGAAGCUUUUCAGUAGUUUACUACAGAAAAUGACUGAGCGGCGAACGGGUGAGUAACGCGUGAGCAAUCUACCUUAGUUACAGGGAUAGCCCGAGGAAACUCGGAUUAAUACCUGAUAUUCUUUUUAUUUCGCAUGAAAUUAAAAGGAAAGGUCAGCCGAACUAAGAUGAGCUCGCGUUCUAUCAGCUAGUUGGUGAGGUAAAAGCUCACCAAGGCUACGACGGAUAGCUGGUCUGAGAGGACGAUCAGCCACACUGGGACUGAGACACGGCCCAGACUCCUACGGGAGGCUGCAGCAGGGAAUAUUGCGCAAUGAGCGAAAGCUUGACGCAGCGACACCGCGUGUGGGAUGACGGAUCUAGGUUUGUAAACCACUUUCAGGAGGGAAGAAAAUGACGGUACCUCCACAAGAAG